GACGAACGCUGGCGGCGUGCUUAACACAUGCAAGUCGAGCGGUAAGGCCCUUCGGGUACGACGAGCGGCGAACGGGUGAGUAACACGUGGGUGACCUGCCUCUAGCUCUGGGAUAAGCCUGGGAAACUGGGUCUAAUACCGGAUAUGACUCCACGGCGCAUGUUGUGGGGUGGAAAGCCUUGUGUGGCUAGAGAUGGGCCCGCGGCCUAUCAGCUUGUUGGUGGGGUGAUGGCCCACCAAGGCGACGACGGGUAGCCGGCCUGAGAGGGCGACCGGCCACACUGGGACUGAGACACGGCCCAGACUCCUACGGGAGGCAGCAGUGGGGAAUCUUGCGCAAUGGGCGAAAGCCUGACGCAGCGACGCCGCGUGAGGGAUGACGGCCUGG
rnacentral:rRNA from 1 species